rnacentral:rRNA from 1 species
GUCCACGCCGUAAACGAUGGGUACUAGGCGUCGGGGGGAGCGACCCCCUCGGUGCCGUCGCUAACGCAGUAAGUACCCCGCCUGGGGAGUACGGUCGCAAGACUGAAACUCAAAGGAAUUGACGGGGGCCCGCACAAGCGGUGGAGCAUGUGGUUUAAUUCGAAGCAACGCGAAGAACCUUACCUGGGCUUGACAUGCACGGGAAAGCCGGUGGAAACAUCGGCCCCUCUUCGGAGCUCGUGCACAGGUGCUGCAUGGCUGUCGU